CCGGCGACCGGCGCACGGGUGAGUAACACGUAUGCGACCUGCCCCCCGCAGGGGGAUAACCGGGAGAAAUCCCGACUAAUACCGCGUAACGCCGCGGACCUGCAUGGGUCUGCGGCCAAAGGAAGCGAUUCCGGCGGGGGAUGGGCAUGCGGCGCAUUAGCUAGUCGGCGGGGUAACGGCCCACCGAGGCGACGAUGCGUAGGGGUUCUGAGAGGAAGGUCCCCCACAUUGGAACUGAGACACGGUCCAAACUCCUACGGAAGGCAGCAG
rnacentral:rRNA from 1 species